ensembl:lncRNA
UCUCAAGUAAAGCAGAAAUAGUAGCCAAAUUGGCUGCACUAUGUGUAAAAGAUGCAUUAUCCAUGAUAGAAGCUACGGGAGGUCAGAAACUGAUUAUCAGUUAAAUGGAACAAAAAAAAAAGAGAGGUCCUGUAAGAUGUUCUCCAUUCCUCCUUUGCUUAUUACCAGGCGAUGACUAAUAAUCACUCUAUGAAAAGUACCAUGGGGAAUAAGUUAUGACUUGUUCACUCAACAAGAUGAAAGACCCUCCCUCCUGAAAAACAGGUAUCACAUAACCAGUUGUCUUUGUUGUAAAUAUGAGAACCAUUCCAAGAACUUUGCCUUUAACAAGAAAGAUGCUCUUCAUGAGGGAGCAAGAGUACCGCGAAAGUCAACUCAGGGCGCUCUGGUUUCUUCUGUAACUCUCACUACCUCACCCUCACCACCACUGUACUAUUUAGAAAUUUUGAAAGAAAUACCAGACAUUGUGUCAUCUCACCUCUGUGUGUGUGUG